GGCCGCGGGAAUUCGAUUCAGGCCUAACACAUGCAAGUCGAACGAACUCUGGUAUUGAUUGGUGCUUGCAUCAUGAUUUACAUUUGAGUGAGUGGCGAACUGGUGAGUAACACGUGGGAAACCUGCCCAGAAGCGGGGGAUAACACCUGGAAACAGAUGCUAAUACCGCAUAACAACUUGGACCGCAUGGUCCGAGUUUGAAAGAUGGCUUCGGCUAUCACUUCUGGAUGGUCCCGCGGCGUAUUAGCUAGAUGGUGAGGUAACGGCUCACCAUGGCAAUGAUACGUAGCCGACCUGAGAGGGUAAUCGGCCACAUUGGGACUGAGACACGGCCCAAACUCCUACGGGAGGCAGCAGUAGGGAAUCUUCCACAAUGGACGAAAGUCUGAUGGAGCAGCGCCGCGUGAGUGAAGAAGGGUUUCGGCUCGUAAAAUACUGGGUUAAGGAAGAACAUAUCUGAGAGUAACUGUUCAGGUAUGACGGUAU
rnacentral:rRNA from 1 species